rnacentral:pre_miRNA from 1 species
UGAACUUAAGGAGAAAACAAAUUGGAACAGUUUGUGUUUUGUUUUGUGUUUUGUUGGAUUCGUUACUCUCCACCGUCGCCGCCAUGUACAAUUCUCAAACUCUGACUUCUUGGAGGCAAUUCUUCCAAUUUGUUCCAACAUCACAAAACAAAACACAAACUGUUCCAAUUUGUUUUCUCACAAAAUGAGAAGUUGAC